UGUGCUGAGGCAGUUUCUCCCACUAUCAGCAACCACUGUGCCGCAGGAAGCGCACUGGACCCGACUCACCUGUAAAAGUGCUUCGUCAUUGUAGCUGCGUCACCGCCUCUCUGAGGAAACCUGAUCGAUAGUCUCCAAGUUGUUCUGAGGGCAAACACCGGAAUAAUGCCGUCAAACUAAAGGUGGGGUAAACGCACAGAGGAGACAUCUCCCUGCACAGAGGCAAGUGCGGUGAGCGAGGCAGACACUGAGGGCAAGCAGAAGGCCAGCGGCGCCGAGCCCGAACCCGAACCAGAGAACAAACGGAAGCCGGAGGCGGCAGCGUCUGAGCCGGAGGGGGAGCAGUCGAGCAAAA